AAUGCAGAGGCCCCCCGCGUGCCGCGGCAAGAGAGCCUCUUCAACACGGAGCGCCGCUGUGAGCCGCCGGCCUGCCCGGUUCGACGACGGUCUGCGUCGCUCGGGCCGGGCUCGCGUGUUUGUUAGUUCUCAUCAUCCUCUCUCCCCUCUCUUUUGUUUCUGCCUUCGCGCAGCGACAGAGGCUCUGUUUGUGUAUGUGUGGGUCUAUGAAUGUGUGCGAGUGCCUCGUUUUGUGUCUGUGUCUGUAUUGGUGUGUGUCUGUGUGUGUGAAUGUGUGCGUCAUCUCGGUCCCCAAGGGUGAAGGCACGCUGAAGGUAGAGGAGCGAAGUGUGAUGGGGACCAGGCUAAGCAGCUCGGCAUAUCUUCAGAAUCUACUUGCGUAUAUUUUACGAUAAACACUAGUGUACAACAUAUCCUCGACCCUGUGCUCAGGAAAUUACGCUACUGAUGGAGUUGCCUUUCGACAGAGUUAGGUCUACAGACCCGGAGAUUGAGAAAGAGAUCCCACCUGUUACGAGGGAAGAGGUAUUGCAGGUAAAAAAAACCAAAUCAAUACGGCUAAAAUGUCAGUUUCGGACAGGAUCCCAGCCGUAUUUGUAGGGAUUCUUCAAGAACUCUGACACGGUCCCUGUAACUGCCAUGCAGAUCUUCCAUUCAGGCCGUUUCCCACUACCAUGGAAGAAAGGUGUUUGUAUUGGUGGGAGGAAAAAUUUCAGACGAUGGUCUGACGAGGAGGCUAAUCAAAUUUCCGACGAAUUUUCUUUUAUGGAAUCCUGAGAAAUCAUCGUGAAAGAUGAUUCAGCGUAAAUCAUAUAUGAUACACCAUCCUCGGAUCCCGGAACGAACGGAUAGGCAAGUUGCGGAGCUGAACCUGAAAAACGUACUAGCCAGUACGCUGCUUUGUUGGCGAUUCAUCGUGGGUCGCAAAAAUAACAAUGUCUUAUUUCACUAAGUUGUCUUCAUUGUACGGUUUACUAUGCAUUAUACAGCGACUAAUAGGUGGAAUAUUUUUAACCACUGGUGUUCGGCGUCAUUCAGACAAAUCGUGUUGCGACCCUUCUGCAUUUAGUUCAAACCGAUAAACAAAAUAGAUACUUUUUCGUUCUGUUAGAAAUUACAGCGGAAAAUAUAUGAACUUGAGCGCUUACUUCUAUGCGUACGUGUAUCUUUGAAACUGUCGC